UCGGCUGGGGCACAUCGAUUGUUGCCAGCGCACAUCGGGCAGGCGACGUCGGCCCAACGACAGGCAUCAUCAGCCAAGACCUGCACACAUCUGACGUGGCAUGUGCAUAUCGGGCAAGCGACGUCAGCUAACGACAUGCGUUAUCGGUCAGGCGACAUUGGUCGUGGACUGCCCGCAUCGGCCAUGACCUGUGCAGAUCGCUCAGACGACGUUGGUCGUGGACUGCCC
rnacentral:lncRNA from 1 species